GAAAUUUUACAUUUCUGAAGGGAAUUAAAGCACGUUGUAAUAUUGGGCUGCUGUCUUUAUUUGAGCACUAUAAUAUAUGUAAGGUUGGAUCUCACCUGAAAACUCCCAAGUUUCCAAUUUGGGUAGUGUGCAGUGAGAGUCAUUUCAGUGUGUUUUUUUGCCCCUCUGAAGACCUGGCAACCGAUCACUGCAAAGAGGAAGAGUUUGACUUGUACUAUUAUGAUGGCCUGGCCAACCAGCAGGAACCAAUUAGAUUAACAGUCUAUCCACAUUCUGCUGCGGGUGCUGCUCGGAAUGACAACGCAGACAGUGAUCUCAUUUCUCCACUGGAGCUUUGCAUCAGGACGAAAUGGAGAAAUGCAGUGGUCAGCUGGAAUAAUACAGAUCCCAUUCUUUGAUAAUGCACGUAAAGGAGAUUUUUAUUUGACCCCGUAUGAUUUUAUCUGGUCUUAAACAAAUUUCAAGUAGGUUUUAUAUUUAUAUAGGUUUAGUAUUUAUUUUGUCUUUUAUGAUGGCUGCCAUUCUCAAUAUUUAUAGUAUUUUCAUCAGUCUGCUGCCCCUCUUGCUUGUUUUAUACUUUAUAUUUAUGUCUCUCAUA